AUUUCAGACAAGCAUUCAGGUGCUCCUAAGGAGCUUAAUAGGGAACCUCGUUGGAUUCGAGGACGGGCCCGCCGCUGUAAUCGGGGACGAACGCCGCAAAAAAAACCACUGGCCGUGGAUUAAGGCCGGGAAGGUGCGGUAAGUAGGGGGAUCCGAAAACCAGAAGACCUGCCUGUAUGUUGUGCUGAUG
rnacentral:ncRNA from 2 species